CCUACGGGAGGCAGCAGUGGGGGAUAUUGCACAAUGGGCGGAACCCUGAUGCAGCGACGCCGCGUGGGUGAAGGAGUGCUUCGGCAUGUAAAGCCCUAUCGGCAGGGAAGAAGCAAGACGGUACCUGACUAAGAAUCCUCGGCUAACUACGCGCCAGCAGCCGCGGCAAUACGUAGGGGGCAAGCGUUAUUCGGACUCACUGGGUGGAAAGGGAGCGUAGUCGGGCAUGCAAGCCAGGGGUGAAAGCCCGGGGCCCAACCCCGGGACUGCCCUUGGAACUGGGCGGCUUGAGUGCGGGAGGGGCAGGCGGAAUUCCUGGUGGAGCGGUGAAAUGCGUAGAUAUCAGGAGGAACACCGGCGGCGAAGGCGGCCUGCUGGACUGCGACUGACGUUGAGGCUCGAAAGCGUGGGGAGCGAACAGGAUUAGAUACCCGGGUAGUC
rnacentral:rRNA from 1 species